AGGAUGGAUGGGCUGCUCAGCCUGGCAUAGGAACUUCAAAUUUCAUCUUCCAUAGUACUCUUCAGGCAGCUGCUGACUAAUAAUUUGCAUGUCUUCUAGUUAUUUCCUUUAAGAUGUCACUGAAGUCAUUUCUCAAAGCAGACAAAAGCUCCAAUUUGCUUCUGCUAAUUUCAUCCCAAGACAAAGACAAACCACGAUCUAGUCGUUAGAGCCCGUGUGGCAGGAGCUAAUUUGGCGUCUGUGUCCCGCAUAGGGACUGAUUCACCGCGUGGCCCUGGGUGAGUUACUUAGCCUCCA